rnacentral:rRNA from 1 species
CGAAAGGAACGCUAAUACCGCAUACGUUCUGAGGAAGAAAGCAGGGGGAUCGUAAGACCUUGCGCUAUUAGAUGAGCUUGCGUCCGAUUAGCUAGUUGGUGGGGUAAAGGCCUACCAAGGCGACGAUCGGUAACUGGUCUGAGAGGAUGAUCAGUCACACUGGAACUGAGACACGGUCCAGACUCCUACGGGAGGCAGCAGUGGGGAAUAUUGGACAAUGGGGGCAACCCCUGAUCCAGCCAUGCCGCGUGUGUGAAGAAGGCCUUCGGGUUGUAAAGCACUUUAAGCGGGGAGGAAGGCCUGAUGGCUAAUAUCCAUCGGGAUUGACGUUACCCGCAGAAUAAGCACCGGCAAACUUCGUGGCCAGCAGCCGCGGUAAUACGAAGGGUGCCGAGCGUUAAUCGGAAUUACUGGGC